GCUUCCGUAGCUCAGGUGGAUAGAGCGUCCCCCUCCUAAGGGGAAGGCCAGGGGUUCAAAUCCUCUCGGGAGCACCA
rnacentral:tRNA from 1 species